UACGUAGGUCCCGAGCGUUGUCCGGAUUUAUUGGGUGUAAAGGGUGCGUAGACGGAGAAGCAAGUUAGUUGUGAAAUCCCUCGGCUUAACUGAGGAACUGCAACUAAAACUACUUCCCUUGAGUACUGGAGAGGAAAGUGGAAUUCCUAGUGUAGCGGUGAAAUGCGUAGAUAUUAGGAGGAACACCAGUGGCGAAGGCGACUUUCUGGACAGUAACUGACGUUGAGGCACGAAAGUGUGGGGAGCAAACAGG
rnacentral:rRNA from 1 species